GAGCGCAACCCUUGUCCUUAGUUACCAGCACGUUAUGGUGGGCACUCUAAGGAGACUGCCGGUGACAAACCGGGAGGAAGGUGGGGAUGACGUCAAGUCAUCAUGGCCCUUACGGCCUGGGCUACACACGUGCUACAAUGGUCGGUACAAAGGGUUGCCAAGCCGCGAGGUGGAGCUAAUCCCAAUAAAACCGAUCCGUAGUCCGGAUCGCAGUCUGCAACUCGACUGCGUGAAGUCGGAAUCGCUAGUAAUCGUGAAUCAGAAUGUCACGGUGAAUACGUUCCCGGGCCUU
rnacentral:rRNA from 1 species